GAGUGACCAACAAAACUAUUCUGUAACACUUCAUUAGAUAGUCCGCGAGCCACCAAUCCUGAAAGCUCCGUGAUCACGGAUUCUAAUAUUUUUAAUAAAAAAUAAAAGUUAUAGUUCAGACGAACAAGAUUUGCUUGGUCGGCGUGGAUUUGAUUGGCCGGAAAUAUUUUCCCGCCCGCUUCCAUCUUAGACUGCAUCAUCACUUACUAUCCGGUGAGAUUGCAGUCAAGGGCUAACUUGUCUGAAUAAUAAUAAAAAAUUCUAAUUGAUCCAGGCGUCUUCGAGUUAUCGGGGAACAAACCUACAUAAAAAACUAAAGAUUCCGACGAACUGAGAACCUCCCCUUUUUUAAAGUCAUGAAUAAAAAGUCCAUUAUAAUAAAUAGUUUUAUUGAUACACGGUAUUACACGACACAACAGUACCAAGCGCAAAUAAUUCAUUCAACUACAAUACUAUUUACAAUGGACCACUAGUGUAGGGUCUGCCAACAUGACACUUUCUCGUACAAGGUUUGCUAGUAAUUUAUCUUUUUCCUGACCUUAUCCUACGCUACGUGGGGUCACAUCACGUCCUCUUCUUCCACUCUCUUCUGUCAACCAUCAACGUAUCAUCCAUCCCUUUUAUACGCAUAUCCUCCGUCACGCAAUCCAUCCACCUUUUCUUUUGCGAGUAAAUCCAUACUAAUAUUAUAUGCGAAAGUGUCUAGAGCAUUUCAAAGCCCAUCGAUUUUGACGAAAUUAUGGAAGGACGACGUGAAGCUGAGGACUUCCAAAGUGAUUUCGAAGUCGUUAAUUGCUAUUUCGGCCGAGACUUGUAUAGUACUUUUCUCCCAUUUGUGAGGAAACAAUA